AUCCAAUAUUAGCUCAGUUAGUAGAACAUGUGACUCUUAAUCUCAGGGCCGUGGGUUCUAGCCCCACAUUGGGCA